CCUACGGGAGGCAGCAGUGGGGGAUAUUGCACAAUGGGGGAAACCCUGAUGCAGCGACGCCGCGUGGGUGAAGAAGUAUUUCGGUAUGUAAAGCCCUAUCAGCAGGGAAGAAAGAAGACGGUACCUGACUAAGAAGCCCCGGCUAACUACGUGCCAGCAGCCGCGGUAAUACGUAGGGGGCGAGCGUUAUCCGGAUUCACUGGGUGUAAAGGGAGCGUAGACGGCCGUGCAAGCCAGGAGUGAAAGCCCGGGGCCCAACCCCGGGACUGCUCUUGGAACUGUGCGGCUGGAGUGCGGGGGGGGCAGGCGGAAUUCCUGGUGUAGCGGUGAAAUGCGUAGAUAUCAGGAGGAACACCGGCGGCGAAGGCGGCUUGCUGGACCGCGACUGACGUUGAGGCUCGAAAGCGUGGGGGGCGAACAGGAUUAGAUACCCUAGUAGUC
rnacentral:rRNA from 1 species